rnacentral:misc_RNA from 1 species
GAUGAAGAACGCAGUGAAAUGCGACAAGUAAUGUGAAUUGCAGAAUUCAGUGAAUCAUCGAAUCUUUGAACGCACAUUGCGCCCCUUGGUAUUCCGAGGGGCAUGCCUGUUCGAGCGUCAUUACACCACUCAAGCUAUGCUUGGUAUUGGGCGUCGUCCUUAGUUGGGCGCGCCUUAAAGACCUCGGCGAGGCCACUCCGGCUUUAGGCGUAGUAGAAUUUAUUCGAACGUCUGUCAAAGGAGAGGAACUCUGCCGACUGAAACCUUUAUUUUUCUAGGUUGACCUCGGAUCAGGUAGGGAUACCCGCUGAACUUAAGCAUAUCAAUAAGCGGAGGA